ACCUUCCCUAGAAAGGAAGAAGCAGGAAGGGCACCAUCACCAGCAUACAAACACAUUUGCACCCAACACCAUGUCUUAAGUAUUUACAGGGUGGAGGCUGGAGAACUGAGAGGAAUACCAUACCUCUCUGAAAAUUUAAUGCGUCUGCAUCAAACUCAGAAAUAUUUAUUACUUUCUUAAAAAAAUAAACUAAACUUUGGAUCUGGCUUGAAAUACACAAGAGAAAUUACUAAUCUUUUACAAAUUAAACUUCAAGAAAAGGAUGAACAGGAAGAAAGUGUAAUCAAGGCAUUAAUCUCUCUUUAAUUUUUACUAUAUUGUUCCUUCUCCUGAUAAGGUAGCCAGAGAAGAGUUACACAAAGAUCCUCCUUCCUUUUGCUUCAGUCCUUCAGGCUCAGUACCUGAAUGUCAGCAAGAACAGGCCCCAGCAGAGAACACUCACAUCCAAGCCUUCCUUAAAUGAUGGUAGAGCUGUGGAGCGAUUAAAAGUAAAGCUUGAGCACACAGCUCCCUUUCUUCAUGCAAUAAACAGGCCAGGCAAAGUGAUGAAAACAAAAACACAAGAGCUUUGGAGCUGUUUCCUAUACUCACCCACAAUGGUCAUGUUGCAAUUGAAGGUGAUGAGAAGGAAUCCCAGCAGGUCCAAACGUUCCAUGCCUCCUAGCGUCACAGACUCAAGGUUGUUGGAGACAUCGGAAGCCUGUGUUCUCCAAGAAAGUGGAAAUUCUUUGCAGGAAUAAAUGUAUCUUCCCUACAAAAGACUUAAAGAUUGGAACAUGGAGACAGACCAGAAGUUGAAGAUGUGAAAAGAUGUCUCAAAGUACAACUGUUUCAAAUGGUCAUUAGGAGCAAUUUAAGUGACCAAGGAUAGUAUGUGCAUGAGCUUCUGACAUUAGCUACGUGGAUGCUUCCUCUAUUCAGAGCUGAGUAGAGAAAAGCCUUCCCCUAAAGGAUGAUUUCAGGCAAGAAUUUAUUUUAGCUAUCAACAUGAGAGUUUGCUGA